rnacentral:lncRNA from 1 species
UAUUUCGCGUAUCAAACAUAAACUAAAAGAACUAGCCAAGGAUUUUGUUUUUGUCCCGGCUGAUAAAGCUGCUUAUAAUAUCCUUAUUGUUUGACGUAAAUUUUAUAUAGAGGUUCUUCAAAAGGAAAUCACGAAUUCACCAACAUUCCAACUGACUUCAUUUUCAGAAAACGACAUCUGUAACAAACACAAACUUUUAGCUAAUUCUUUACAAGCAGAACC